rnacentral:rRNA from 1 species
AUUGAACGCUGGCGACAGGCUUAACACAUGCAAGUCGAGCGGAGAGAGGUAGCUUGCUACUGAUCUUAGCGGCGGACGGGUGAGUAAUGCUUAGGAAUCUGCCUAUUAGUGGGGGACAACAUUUCGAAAGGAAUGCUAAUACCGCAUACGUCCUACGGGAGAAAGCAGGGGAUCUUCGGACCUUGCGCUAAUAGAUGAGCCUAAGUCGGAUUAGCUAGUUGGUGGGGUAAAGGCCUACCAAGGCGACGAUCUGUAGCGGGUCUGAGAGGAUGAUCCGCCACACUGGGACUGAGACACGGCCCAGACUCCUACGGGAGGCAGCAGUGGGGAAUAUUGGACAAUGGGCGCAAGCCUGAUCCAGCCAUGCCGCGUGUGUGAAGAAGGCCUUAUGGUUGUAAAGCACUUUAAGCGAGGAGGAGGCUACUUUAGUUAAUACCUAGAGAUAGUGGACGUUACUCGCAGAAUAAGCACCGGCUAACUCUGUGCCAGCAGCCGCCGCCGUAA